CUCGCACCUACGACCGACCACGAACUCUGUGAGAGGUUUGAGUUGUAGCACAUCUGUUAGGACCCGAAAGGUGGUGAACUAUGCCUGAGUAGGGUGAAGUCAGGCGAAGGCCUGAUGGAGGCUCGUAGCGAUACUGACGUGCAAAUCGUUCGUCAAACUUGGGUAUAGGGGAAAAAGAC
rnacentral:ncRNA from 1 species